CACGUAGGGGGCGAGCGUUGUUCGGAAUUAUUGGGCGUAAAGGGCGCGCAGGCGGUCUGGUAAGUCUGGUGUUGAAGGCCACAGCUUAACUGUGGAAAGGCGCUGGAAACUGCCGGGCUUGAGUUUAGGAAGGGGAGCUGGAAUUCCAGGUGUAGGGGUGAAAUCUGUAGAGAUCUGGAAGAACACCGGUGGCGAAGGCGAGCUCCUGGCCAUAGACUGACGCUGAGGCGCGAAAGCGUGGGGAGCAAACAGG
rnacentral:rRNA from 1 species